CCUACGGGUGGCAGCAGUGAGGAAUAUUGGUCAAUGGGCGCGAGCCUGAACCAGCCAAGCCGCGUGAAGGAUGACUGCCCUACGGGUUGUAACUUUCUUUUAUCAAGGAAUAAAGUGAGGCACGUGUGCCUUAUUGUAUGUCCUUUAUGAUUAAGGUUCGGCUAACUCGGUGCCAGCAGCCGCGGUAAUACGGAGGUGCUGGGCGUUAUCCGGAUUUAUUGGGUUUAAGGGGAGCGUAGAUGGGUUGUUAAGUCAGUUGUGAAAGUUUGCGGUUCAACCGUAAAAUUGCAAUUGAUACUGGCAGUCUGGAGUACAGUUGAGGUAGGCGGAAUUCGUGGUGUAGCGGUGAAAUGCUUAGAUAUCACGAAGAACUCCGAUUGCGAAGGCAGCUUACUAAACUGCCACUGACACUGAUGCUCGAAAGUGUGGGUAUCAAACAGGAUUAGAUACCCUGGUAGUC
rnacentral:rRNA from 1 species